rnacentral:rRNA from 1 species
GUUGUAUGGUUAAGUGAUUAAGCGUAGACGGUGGAUGCCUUGGCAGUCAGAGGCGAUGAAGGACGUACUAACCUGCGAAAAGCGAUGGUGAGCUGGUAAGAAGCAUUUGAGCCAUCGAUGUCCGAAUGGGGAAACCCACCUGCAUAAGCAGGUAUCUUAGCGUGAAUACAUAGCGCUAAGAGGCGAACUCGGGGAACUGAAACAUCUAAGUACCCGAAGGAAAAGAAAUCAAUUGAGAUUCCGGCAGUAGCGGCGAGCGACCCCGGAGCAGCCCUUAAGCGGCUUAGGCGUUAGGUGAACAGGUUGGAAAACCUGGCAAUAAAGGGUGAUAGCCCCGUAACCGACGGCGCCUUAGGCGUGAAAACGAGUAAGACGGGACACGURAUAUCUUGUCUGAAYAKGGGGGGACCAUCCUCCAAGGCUAAAUACUCCUGACUGACCGAUAGUGAACCAGUACCGUGAGGGAAAGGCGAAAAGAACCCCUGUGAGGGGAGUGAAAUAGAACCUGAAACCGUCUACGUACAAGCAGUGGGAGCCCCAUCACUAAGACACUUYAUCUUAGUGAGACGCUAUCACUUUGUUGAUUGGGUUAACCACGCGCAGCGUGGGUCAACCACCCAAUCAAGCAGAGGUGACUUAGUGAUGGGGUGACCGCGUACCUUUUGUAUAAUGGGUCAGCGACUUAAUGUAAGUAGCYAGGUUAACCGCAUAGGGGAGCCGUAGGGAAACCGAGUCUUAACUGGGCGACAGUUGCUUGCAUUAGACCCGAAACCGAGUGAUCUAGCCAUGGGCAGGUUGAAGGUUGAGUAACAUCAACUGGAGGACCGAACUCACUAACGU